GACGAACGCUGGCGGCGUGCCUAAUACAUGCAAGUAGAACGCUGAAGGAGGAGCUUGCUUCUCUGGAUGAGUUGCGAACGGGUGAGUAACGCGUAGGUAACCUGCCUUGUAGUGGGGGAUAACUAUUGGAAACGAUAGCUAAUACCGCAUAAUAGCAGUUGUUGCAUGAUAACUGUUUGAAAGGUGCAAUUGCACCGCUACCAGAUGGACCUGCGUUGUAUUAGCUAGUUGGUGGGGUAACGGCUCACCAAGGCGACGAUACAUAGCCGACCUGAGAGGGUGAUCGGCCACACUGGGACUGAGACACCGCACAGACUCCUACGGGCGGCAGCAGUAGGUACUCUUCGGCACUGGACGGAAGUCUGCCCGAGCAACGCAGCGUGAGUGAAGAAGGUCUUCGGAUCGUAAAGCUCUGUUGUAGUGAAGAACGAGUGUGAGAGUGGAAAGUUCACACUGUGACGGUAUCUUACCAGAAAGGGACGGCUAACUACGU
rnacentral:rRNA from 1 species